GGAGCACCGCAACCUGAGGAUUGUGCGGUUUAAUUGGAUUCAACGCCGGAAAACUCACCAUAGCCGACGGACAUAUGAAGGUCAGUGUAAUGAACUUACCCGAUUGUUCGAGAGGUAGUGCAUGGCCGCCGUCAGUUCGUACCGCAAGGCGUUCUGUUAAGUCAGAUAACGAACGAGACCCUCAUCUCUAUUUGCUAACUAGAUCUCCGGAUUUAGUGCACUAUAGAGAGACCGCUGGCGCUAAGUCAGAGGAAGGGGAGGGCAACGGUAGGUCAGUAUGCUCCGAAUGCUAUGGGCUACACGCGCAAUACAAAGGACGGGACAAUGGGCUGCUGCUCCGAAAGGAACGAUAGCUAUCCCGAAACCCGUUCGUAGUUCGGAUUGAGGGCUGUAACUCGCCCUCAUGAAGCUGGAUUAGGUAGUAAUCGCGUCUCAAAAAGGCGCGGUGAAUAUGCCCCUGCUCCUUGCACACACCGCCCGUCAAACCAUCUUAGUUGUGGGUGGGUGAGGCUACCUCUCAAUGGGGUAUUCGAGCCUGCCUUCGACGAGGAGGGUUAAGUCGUAACAAGGUAUCUGUAGGGGAACCUGCAGAUG
rnacentral:rRNA from 1 species